rnacentral:misc_RNA from 1 species
AUCAGCUUUUUAUCAUCUUUUUUUGUUCCAUUCUAUCGAACCCUAAUCUACCUCUCUCUUUCUCCUUAAUUGCCUUUCAACUUUUUCAGAUCUCACAACCUCCAUUUCUAAUUUGUCUUUUCAAUCUAAUCUCUUCUCUUCCAAGUACAGGAUUGGAAAUUUUGUAUAUAUAUAUGUAGAUGCCUAGUAACAAAGUUAUAAAUUUGGCAAGCUAUUUCAACACCAUCCAUAUUUUUAAUAUCUCCUCUUAGGUUUUCCUUAAAUUUUGUAUUGUAUAUAUGAUAAAAGAUACCGUAAGAAAUUUGUGAUCAAUUAUUUUGCAUUAUUUGUUUAUUUGAAUCUAGAUUUGGUUUUGAGACACAAGUAUAUGUCAUGGAAAAAAAUUGGAUCAAUCAUAGAGGUGUUAGCGACAGACAAAAACCAAAAUAUGUUAAACGAAUUACGGAGUUCCUUAAAUUUGCAUUUGAUAAAGUAGGGGCAAGAGGUAAAAUAAGGUGUCCAUGCUAUAACAGCAACAAUUGUGUUUUUCUUGGUAAAGAUGAUUUUUUCACUCAUUUGAUUGUAUUUGGGAUCCUAAGGGAUUGUACUAAAUGGACUUUGCAUGGAGAAGAGAGUAGUGAUGAAGAAGAAAAUGAUGGGAUAAUAGGUGAUGAUGAUUCUAUUGGGUUUGAUGAGACAAUUGGUAUGAUUCAUGAUAUAAUCAAUGUUAGGAACAUAAAUAUUUGUGAAGGUAUGGAUGAGAUUGGUUGUGAGACUAUGGUCAAUGAGGAGCUGCUUGAGAAAUUUGUUAGAUUAAUGAAAGAUGCUGAGAGAGAGUUGUUUCCAGGUUGUAAAAACUUCUCAAAGCUAGAAUUCGUUGUACAUCUUCUUCAUAUUAAAUGCAUUAAUAGUUGGAGUGACAAUUCUUUCACCAUGUUAUUGAAUUUAUUAAAGUAAGUAUUCCUCCAUGAUGAGAAAUUCCCUAAGAAUGCAUACGAAGCAAAGAAAUAUACACAAGAUUUGGGAUUGAAUUAUGUGAAGAUUGAUGCUUGUAAGAAUGAUUAUAUUCUUUAUCGAAAGAAGUAUUCCAACUUUCAAAGUUGUCCAACUUAUGGUUACUAAAGGUGGAAAAAUGAAGGUGUUAAAGGUGAUAGUGAGGGCUUAGGCAAAGGUAAAAAGGUUCCUAAUAAAGUCUUGUGUCAUUUUCCAUUGAUACCAAGACUUCAAAGGCUUUACAUGUCUUAAAAAAUAGUAUCUCAUAUGUGUUGGCAUAAGGAGAAACGCUUUGAUGAUGGGGUGUUAAGGCAUCCAGCUGAUACAAAAGCUUGGAAAUCAUUUGAUGAGAUAUAUCCAAAUUUCUCUUUGGACAUAUGAAAUGUAAGACUUGGUUUGGCCUCAGAUAAUUUUAAUCCAUUUGGCAACUUAAGCACUUCUUAUAGCAUAUGGCCUGUUAUGUUAAUGCCAUAUAAUCUACCACCAAGGAUGUGUAUAAUGAGUGAUUUUUCUAUGUUGUCUUUGUUGAUUAUUGGAGAAAAGGCUCCUGGAAAUAACAUUGAUGUUUAUUUAGAGCCUUUAAUAGAAGAAUUACAAGAGUUAUGGGAAGUAGGAUUUGACACAUAUGAUGCUUUUUCUUCAUCUAAUUUCAAGUUACUUGCAGCCUUUUUGUGGACUGUUAAUGACUUCCCAGCAUAUGCAAAUCCGUCUGGUUAGAGUACUAAAGGGGCUUUGGUGUGUCCUUGUUAUAACAGUGACACAUGCUCACUUAGAUUGACCCACGGUCAUAAAUUUUGUUAUAUGGGUCAUCGAAGAUUCUUAGAGGCUAAUCAUAAGUGGAGGUUUUAUAAGAGAUCUUUUGAUGGCACCGUUGAAAUGCGUUCUACUCUUAAGCAUCUUUUAGGAGAUGAUAUUCUUAAGCAGUUGAGUGAAUGCAAUAAUGUGGUGUUUAGUAAGUGUAGUCACAAACGAAAAAGGAGUGAAUCUUCAUUACAAUUUAAUUGCAAAAAAAAAAAGAGCAUAUUUUUUCAGUUGCCUUAUUGGAGCAAACUCUUACUUCAUCACAACUUGGAUGUUAUGCAUAUUGAAAAGAACAUUUGUGAAAAUAUUUUAGGAACAAUUAUGGGAAUUGCUACAAAAACUAAAGACAAUGUAAAUGCAAGGGUAGAUCUUAUGGAGAUGGGUAUUCGCAAGGAGUUGCAUAUUGUACACAAAAUUGAAAGCAAAUAUGAAAUGCCAGUAGCUGCUUAUACUUUGACUUUAAAAGAAAGGAGAGAUGUAUGUCAUUUUUUAUAUAAUUUGAAAGUUCCAGAUGGAUACUCCUCUAAUUUUGCUUGAUGUGUAAAUAUUCAAGAGGGUAAAAUUUUUAGAAUGAAAAGUCAUGAUUGUCAUGUUUUCACGCAAGAUUUGAUUGCUCCUACUUUUCGUGGGCUCUUACCCAAAGAAGUAUAUGAGCCAUUAUUGGAAUUAAUGUUUUUUAAGCAAUUAUGCUCUAAGGCAUUAAGGGUGGAGAUAUUGGAAAAAUUAGAAUGCAACAUUACAAGAACCCUUUGCAAGCUUGAAAAAAUAUUUCCUCCUGCCUUUUUUAAUGUCAUGGUACAUUUGCCUAUACAUUUAGUACGGAAAGCAAUGUUGGCAGGACCUGUUAAAUAUCACCGGAUGUUUCUUUGUGAAAGGUUAGAUCACAUAUUCAUAUUCUUAGUCACAUAAAAAAAAUAUUGUUAUACUAUGUUAAAACUAAAACUAUAUUAAUUCUUUUGUCUUAGGAAUAUGAGAAAAUUUAAGUCCUAUGUUAAAAACAAAGCUCAUCCAGAAGGAUCAAUAGCUGAAGGUUAUAUUGCAGAUGAGCGUCUCACCUUUUGUUCAAGGUAUUUAUCUAAGAAUGAGACUAGAUUUAAUCAGAAAGAAAGAAACUAUGAAGGUGAAGCUCAACAUGCGAGUUUGUCCAUUUUUGCAAAAUUUAGAAAGCCUUUGAGUAAAGCAAAAACUAGAGAAUUGAGUUUUGAAGAUUUGACAUGAGCUCAACUAUAUGUUUUAAGAAAUUGUGUUAAAGUGCAAUCCUUCAUUGAGUAAGGAUUGUAAACUAGGUUAUGAGUUUUAUAUUUUGAUAAUUAUAUUGUAAUAAGAAAAAUCAAUUUCAAUUAUUUUUACAGAAUAUGAAGGUGUCAAUCAUGUCCAGAAUAACAACUUGGUCAAAUGGUUUUGCAACAUUGUAAGUAAAUGUACAAUAAGAUUUUAUAAAACUUAAUUGCAUGUAUUUAAUAGUGUUAUUUUAUAAUUAUGAUCUCUUGAUAGGUGAUGCACUUGUGGGAUAGAAGAGAUAAAUGAGUGACAAAAGAACUGCUAUUUUUGGCACAAGGCCCAAUUAGAAGAGUUUCUUAUUGUAAUGGUUAUAAUGUUAAUGGGUAUAGAUUUCAUACCAAAGAACAUGGCAACCAUCAUGUAACACAAAAUAGUGGAGUUGUUGUAAAAAGAGAUGUACAUAGUGGAGAGAGAAUAUUUUGGCUUAUUACGAGAAGUUAUUGAAUUGGAAUAUAGUAGGGACAAAAAAGCUAUACUAUUAUGACGUGAUUGGUAUGACGUGUAUGAUGAGCAAAAAGGAAUGAAGAAAGAUGGAAAUGGGGUUAUCAUCGUGAAUAUCACAUAAUUUUGGCAAACUAAUGAGCCAUUUGUGUUAGCAAGCCAAGUUGAACAAGUUUAUUAUGUGAUAGACCAAUGGGAUACAAAAUGGCUACUGGUAGUCAAGACUAUGGCUCGCAACUUUUAUGAUAUGCCUCUUGAUAAAGAGAAAGAUACUUAUGAUAUAGAGCCAUAUUGGGAUUUUAUGGAACCCCAUUUGAGUGAAAACAUAUUGGGAUGUUAGGGAACCCCAUUCGAGUGAAAAUUUGAAUUUUUCUAUUGUUAAGGGAGAAGAUAUACUUAUUCCAUUAGCAAGAGAUGACAUGAAGCCCGAGAUAAUAGAUCAUAAUGUUACUAGAAAUCGAAAGGAAUUUAAGAAAAUUUUUAUUGAUAAUGAUAUGUUUGGUGAUGAUGAUGAUGGAGGAGAAGAAAAAGAAUAAGAGGAAGAGGAAGAAGAAGAAG